rnacentral:tRNA from 2 species
AUUGGCAGAUUAGUGCUUUAAAUUUAGAGUUUAAUUAAGUAAUUUUAUUACAUUUA